CCUACGGGAGACAGCAGUGGGGAAUAUUGGGCAAUGGGCGCAAGCCUGACCCAGCAACGCCGCGUGAAGGAAGAAGGCUUUCGGGUUGUAAACUUCUUUGGUCAGGGAAGCGUAGAAGACGGUACCUGACGAAUACGCCACGGCUAACUACGUGCCAGCAGCCGCGGUAAUACGUAGGUGGCAAGCGUUGUCCGGCUUUACUGGGUGUAAAGGGCGUGUAGCCGGGUUGACAAGUCAGAUGUGAAAUCCUGCGGCGUAACCGCAGAACUGCAUUUGAAACUGUUGAUCUUGAGUACUGGAGAGGCAGACGGAAUUCCUAGUGUAGCGGUGAAAGGCGUCGAUAUGAGGAGGAACACCAGUGGCGAAGGCGGUCUGCUGGACAGCAACUGACGGUGAGGCGCGAAAGCGUGGGGAGCAAACAGGAUUAGAUACCCCAGUAGUC
rnacentral:rRNA from 1 species